rnacentral:sRNA from 1 species
AAGAAAGGGAUAAGGUUAAGGUACAUGGGUGGAUGUUCCCCAUUUGGGGAAUUUUUACAUUUUUAUUAUGAAAUAUAGCAAACAUAUCUUACAGAAGGUGUGUGUGUGUGUGUGUGUGUGUGUGUGUUUUAAAGCAAAGUAGUAACAAAUACUGAAGGACCUGAUACCCAUCUUA